rnacentral:rRNA from 1 species
GGAAGUAAACAAGGGCGAAAGGUGGAUGCCUAGGCUCUCGGAGGCGAAGAAGGACGUGAUAAGCUGCGAAAAGCUGCGGUAAGGAGCAAAUAUCCUGUGACCCGCAGAUUUCCGAAUGGGGCAACCCAUCAACGCAAGUUGAUAUACCGCCAAGCGGUAAGCAAACGCGGGGAACUGAAACAUCUCAUUACCCGUAGGAAGAGAAAAUAAGAAUGAUUCCGCAAGUAGUGGCGAGCGAACGCGGAAGAGCCCAAACCGGUUCCGUUUCGGCGGGGCCGGGGUAGAAGGACCGACAGAAGGACAAAGGAAGCAUAGCCGAACAGUAUUGGAAAAUACGAUCAGAGACGGUGAUAAUCCGGUAGGCGAAAUGCGGAGCUUGACAGUCGGUAUCCUGAGUAGUGCAGGACACGAGAAAUCCGGUACGAAUCAGCGGGGACCAUCCCGUAAGGCUAAAUACUCCCGAGAGACCGAUAGCGCACCAGUACUGUGAAGGAAAGGUGAAAAGAACCUCGAACAGAGGAGUGAAAAAGACCCUGAAACCAUUCGCCUACAAGCGGUCGGAGCCACUACGUGUGGUGACGGCGUGCCUUUUGCAUAAUGAACCUACGAGUUACCCAUACCGGCCAGAUUAAGCGAUUCAGUCGCGGAGUCGAAGCGAAAGCGAGUCCUAACAAGGCGGAUAGUCGGUAUGAGUAGACGCGAAACCAAGUGAUCUACCCAUGAGCAGGUUGAAGGUUAGGUAACACUAACUGGAGGACCGCACCGGUAAACGUUGAAAAGUUUUCGGAUGACUUGUGGGUAGGAGUGAAAGGCCAAUCAAACUUGGAGAUAGCUCGUACUCCCCGAAAUGCAUUUAGGUGCAGCCUCGGGCCAGUAUGUAAUAGAGGUAGAGCCACUGAUAAGUCGCGAGGGUUUCAACGCCUAUCAAGACUUGACAAACUCCGAAUACUAUUACAGGUACCCCGGGAGUGAGGGCAUGGGUGCUAAGGUCCAUGUCCGAGAGGGAAAGAACCCAGACCAUCAGCUAAGGUCCCGAAAUAUAUGCUAAGUUGAAGAUAAAACGAAGUAGAGACCCUGAGACAGCUAGGAUGUUGGCUUGGAAGCAGCCAUUCAUUUAAAGAGUGCGUAACAGCUCACUAGUCGAGGGACUCCGCAUGGAUAAUAAUCGGGCAUAAGCAUAUUACCGAAGCUAUGGAAUAGAACUAUUGGUAGGGGAGCAUUCCAGUCGCCGUCGAAGAUAUACCUUGAGGUAUGUUGGAGGCCCUGGAAAAGCAAAUGUAGGUAUAAGUAACGAUAAAGGGGGCGAGAAACCCCCUCGCCGUAAGACCAAGGAUUCCUGAUCAACGCUAAUCGGAUCAGGGUAAGUCGGGCCCUAAGGAUCAUCCGAAAGGAGAAGCCGAUGGAAGAAACGGUUAAUAUUCCGUUACUACGAUAAAGAGUGACGGGGAGACGGAGAAGUGACACAUCCGCCUGCUGACGGAAUAGCAGGUUAAAGAGUGUAGAUAAUGGCUGGAUAGGCAAAUCCGUUCGGCCAGUCGAACUUGACAGUACCGAGCGUCCUCGGACAAUCGGAUAGCGAUGGUAAACAGGCUUCCAAGAAAAUCCUCUAAACAUAUUUUUAUCGUACCCGUACCGCAAACGGACACACGUGGUCGAGUAGAACAUACUAAGGCGCUCGAGAGAUUCACGGUUAAGGAACUAGGCAAAUUGACCCUGUAACUUCGGGAAAAAGGGUCCCCGCUGCAAGGCGGGGCGCAGAGAAUAGGUCCAGGCAACUGUUUAACAAAAACACAGGGCUGUGCAAAAUUUCAAGAUGACGUAUACAGCCUGACACCUGCCCGGUGCUGGAAGGUUAAGAGGAGAAGUCAUUCGCAAGAAGAAGCUUUGAAUUGAAGCCCCAGUAAACGGCGGCCGUAACUAUAACGGUCCUAAGGUAGCGAAAUUCCUUGUCGGGUAAGUUC